rnacentral:lncRNA from 1 species
AUGAAAGCAGUUAAAUAUGAACGCAAGAGGAGAGCCAGCGACAGCGCGGCGUGCGCGUCGCGGAGACGGCCUCCUGGAGACGAGCGCGCGGAAAGCCCUCUCCAAGGCACAUGGAACGGGCUGUUUUCCUCAGAGGCUGCAGGAGCGUGCAUGCUCUCGCGUCUUGUGCCGUACCUGAAUCGAGAGUAUCCCUGGGCAGCAGGCUUCCUAAUCCCCACUUCUCUUCGCUUAGUCCUGGGAAGCAAGAGAGCAGAGAUGAGAUCUGAACUCCACAUAGCAGCCUUGCGUUCCGCUUUCUCCUGUUCUCCGGAGACAUCCUCUACCAGGUUAUUCCAGCAACCACUGCUUCAAACACACCAAGCAGGGUCUCAGGUAUGCAAUUAAGUGUGCACCAAAUGUAGACUCCUGACUAACGGAGGAACUGCCUAAAGGGACUUCUAAGAAAUCUUCCUAUUUCUUUUGGAGUUAUGGACGCAUAGCAGAGUCCAUGCAUGUGGUCAGCACACAUCUUGUUGAGUCAAAAAAAUAAAUAUGAGACUCAAUUUAGAAUCUAGUUUUAAAGUCACAGUUUGCACUU